UAGCAGCUCAUCUGGCUCUUCCGGAGUCCGAGUUGUACUGUGUAGAAGAUGCUUUGGGACGUAGGGCCGGCCUAAGUACCUUGGAACAGGACAUCAGAGAGGGUGAGAAUCCCGUAUGUGGCCGUGGCCUACCGCCGUGUAAAGCUCUAUCGACGAGUCGAGUUGUCGUGGGCGUGCAGCUCAAAAUGGGUGGUAAAUUUCAUCUAAAGCUAAAUAUUGGCCAGAGACCGAUAGCGCACAAGUAGAGUGAUCGACCGAUGACGAAGCACUUUGGAGAGCGAGUGAAACAGUACGUGGAAUCCUUGAGAGGGACGCGCUUGCACCCAGACUUGGGCGUCGUCGAUAAUCCGAGGUUCUGCUCGGUGCACUCGACGAGGCACAGGCCAGCAUCGGUUUGGAUGGUUGGAGAAAGGCUCGAGGAACGUAGCUCUCUUCGGGGAGUCAUAGCCUUGGACGCAAUGCAGCCCAUCCGGACCGAGGACCGCGCCUUCGGGCUAGGAUGCUGGCGUAAUGGUUGCAAGCCACCCG
rnacentral:rRNA from 1 species